AAUAUCGUGACUUGCUCUCUUCUACUCAGGGAAUUUAUUGCAUCUUUAGAGUUGGAGGCUGUCAUGUGUGCAAAUACAGUUCUUCCAGUUUUGAAAGGUUAUUGACAAGUGAUGGGACUUUUUUCAAGAAAUAAGGGAUGGGUGGAGUGGGGGUGGGGGAGCUGUAGACAGUCAAUUCGUCACUUCAACCAGAAAUAUCGCGCUAGACCAUGUAUUGUCAGUACCAAGAGAAAAAAAAUGUACUUCAAGAAAUGUUUUUGUACAUCAAACUAAAAGCCAAGAUGAUAAUCACAUCAUGUUCUCUGGAGAGGUUUUAAAGAGAAGAAAAAAUGGGGACAAUCUGUAAAUUUCAUUUUUCUGUGUGAUGCAGGUUUGUCUUCAAGACUGCCGUCAUGUGGCACUGGCACUGGUCAAGCGACGGCUUCUCCCACGGUUUUAGCCGGGGCCAGUCUUCACAGUCUGCCAGGCUACAGUCACACGCUGUCCCAAGCUCUGUGGAAGCCAUACCGGCUAGAAGCUGUGAGGAUGAAGAGCACACAUCUAGCCGACACUAAAACGAGUCGAUACCUCGGAGUGGCAGGCAUUGAAGGGGCCGAAGAUUUCACCCCACUUUCAGACAAAGACCUUCAGACAAGUGUCUCAAAU